ACCAGGUUAAAGGUCAGAAGACUCAGUAUACACGCAGUCUCCUCAGGAUGCUGGGAGAAACUGGCGGCGAAACCCUUUCAUCUACACGUGCAGUCGGCAGCGUGACCACGUGACUACUCCACUCAGUGACUACUUAUGGCUGCUAACCAGUGAGUCCACAUCACAGACUGUGUAUGAAACCCGACUACAGCGCAUGGAGUCUCUCAUUUUCUCAUGAUAUUAGUAUUUGUUUAUUUUCUGUAAUUUACCCUAUGAAACAAACCAUCAGGUUUACUCAAUAAAGAAUUCGUUCGUUCGUUCGUUCGUUCGUUCGUUCGUUCGUUCGUUCGUUCGUUCGUUCGUUCGUUCGUUCGUUCGUUCGUUCGUUCGUUCGUUCGUUCGUUCGUUCGUUCGUUCAUUAGUUCGUUCAUUCGUUCGUUAGUUCGUUCAUGUUAGUAUUUGUACGGUUGGCAGAUUCUGUAGUCGACUAUCACACAUACGUACAUUAAUUUUUCUGACAUAUUUUUUUCAUGGCUGCAAGGCGGAGAGCUUGUGGCAAAUCAUGCUCACCCAUAAAGUGGCUCAAAGCGCAAAGUAAAGCCAAGAGAGGGCACAGGGGAAGUGGCAGCAAACAAUUUUUUUAAAUCCAAGCACCGUUGCAUUUGUAAGAAGCCUCGGCCUUCACUGCAGCUCGGCACUUGACUAUUGCCAGCAAGUAAAUGGAAUGGACGUGACCCCUGACCCCUGUUGUUGUUUUACAGCACAGAUGGGGAGCAAGCACGGUGAGAGUUGGGAGCCUGAGCAGACGUGUGUUUACACAAAGGUGAACUGGUACAGCAGCUAGUAAAAACUAAGAAUGAUUAAUCGUAUAGCAUGUGUUCAAAAUGAACAUUCAUUAGCUACAUGUAAUUAAGAAUAAAAAUAUUUCUUACGAAAAAGAUUGAAAUAAAAAAGACAUGAUAUCUGUCUAUUCAGCAUCAAAAGCUAUUUAGCAUACAUUAUACUUCAUAAAAAAAGAUGAAUAGAAGGUUGUUAAUUAGAUAUAUGUGCUGAAAAAUAAAAUAUACUAUUUAGUAUUCAAAAAACUAAAUAGAAUGUUAAUAAUAUACGCGGUCCUGUGCUCUUGAAAGGAGCAAGAAGGAAUAAACUAAUCGACUAAACUUAUACAAGAAAAGAAAGUUUCUGUCUAUUUAAUAUGCAGGGAAAGCGAAUAAUAUAGUAUUUAAAAUGGUGUCUGUUAUUUAAAAUCCCUCCCCCAUAAAAAAAGAGCGAAAUUGUCAACAGGACGAAAGCUUGUGUAACUGUCACAUAAAAACUUCGCUGACAUUAUUCUCAACCGUUGUCAAAAUAUUUGUCUGGUUAAAAACUCUAAUGAGACAAAUGUUCCACGUGACAGUCAAGUGCAGAUAAUUAGUUAACGAAUGUACAUUGAAUGCUUACACGAGACAAGAGUUAUGGGCAAGUGUAGAUAAUUAGUGAGUCAGUCUAAUUAGAUGAUUACAUGGACAAGUGUAGACAAUCAGUCAACAAAUAUACAUGGCGAGCUUCCAGCACAUGAAGAGUGUGAUUUAGUCGUGAAAGCAAUGUGAUUUUAGGGGGAACCUAAAUGAAAAUUCCAGACAGAAAAAUUUCGUUAAGUUGAUAUGUGAUUAAAGGGAUAAAAUGUUCCUAACAAAGAAAUUUUCCGAAACCCGAAAAAAUCUUUUUUGUUCAUAAUAAAUUAUAAUUACAAAAUGCGAAGAUACCAAAAUUGGUAGAUUGAUUGUUUGUGUACAGUGUACAUGACACGUGACAAUACUAGAGGAUGCGCCAAGUUCCCUACAGAGUAUCGAACCCAGCAGUUCAUAUUGACUGCUGGCAGCCUACCCCGGGUAGUGAGGGUAUCCUGGCCUCUCACAAAGUGGCAUGACGAUAGCAAAGCAAAGAUGAUUGCUUUCUGCUUCACAUGCAUCAUCGCCGAUGAGGCCGGACCUUGGGGUGGCACUGAUCUGUCCUCAUCUUGUGUUUCUUUACAUAAAAAUGUAAAAUGUACCCGUUCAUAGACUUAUCUUGUUAUCUUUCCGACUUCCUCACUGCAUCUGUCUCGGACUGUGCAGGCUUGUCUGUCUGUCUGUCUGUCUGUCUGUCUGUCUGUCUGUCUGUCUGUCUGUCACACACACACUGCGUGGUAGAGGUGAAAAUGUCGAGCACAUACUUUAUCUCAAACCUAUUGCGCAUUUGAUAACUCUAUAGAUACAUGUAUAUGAGAAACCAAAUUUGAUUGUUGUGGUUUUCAUGUUAAUAUUACAAUUUUAUAGUUUUCUUUUUUUUUUUUUUUUUUACUUGCGUUGCUUUUGCUGUUGUCUUCAAUUAUUUUAUGUUGCUGCUGGAGUUUAGUGGCUUUUAACGGUCGGCACGUUUGUGCGCGUGCAGUGGAGGGUAAGUGUAUUAUUCCCAGGCUCACUAAAACAGUUUUAAUAUUAAAUAAUAUACAUCAAUGGCAAAUUGUAAUAUUGGGCAAAAGUGUUAGUAUUCAUGGAUGUACGUCAGUCGUAAUUUGUUGUCGCCUUGUAUAUUUGUCUAACUCCUCGUCGCCCCCGUACUUUACCCUCACGUCCGUUGACAGUAAAAUAUCUUCCAUGUGUCCGCGUACCUGUCCCAUCCUUCCCUUCCUUUGCAUGUUGUACAUCGUCGUGUCUUUAUCUCACGCGCACAGCACAUGAUGACUGUGAUUCGGCAAUACAGAAAUCGCGACGACAACGACGACGACGACGAUGAUUUUACAGGCUGUAACCCAAGCAUAUUUUAAAUAAACUAUACUUUAUAAACCGGUUUAAAGGUUUUGAUUCGUGAAAUAUUUUGUGACUUGAUAUUGUCACAAACAGCGACACUUGAGACACGAGCUCCACAGUUUCUGUAAAUAUCAGGAAUUUCACGUAUCAGAUGUUAAAUCAGGUGUUACCUACUACCUGUCAACUCACAAGUUAACCCCAUCACUGCAAAUACACUUCGCAGGUAUUAAUGUUCGUCUUUAGUUUAUUUUUUCUCUCUCUCUUACAUCCAUUCUCACACAGCAUUUGUGACUAUAAUAAAUCCCCUUACGAGCAAGUUUCCUUUCUCCAUGAGAAUCUUGGACAAUAUUCACUCUUGUCAUUGUCAUAUUCCUCGUUCUUACAGUUUUUUUUUUUCUCCUUCAGUUUUUCUCAAUUGCUGACAAUUUUUAAUUAUGUAUAUAGCUUCUCUCAAAACUAAAGGUUCCCAAGUUUUAUAAACAUUUUCUUCUCUGACUCAAUUGUUUUUUUAUAUCUUCUUUACUUGUUUGGUUAGUUAGGCCUCGCUGUCUUUUUGUCACACUUUGCUGUCAUUUAUAUCAUUUUUGCCAGACUUAUCUUACACUGUAGCUGCCGAUCCCGUUGUUAAAUCCGCACAUUAAGACCUUUGUGGUUGGUAAACACCCCAGAGGUAACACGACCCACUUCAGUGACUUCAUCCACUGUACUAAACGGGAACACUAGUAACCCCCGUAACCCCAGUAACCCCAGUACUCAACACAAUCUUUACUGACCAUCAGCUAGUUACACCUACGUUAGCACAGGUGAGUACAUUGCUACUCAUCCCUUUCCCUCUCUUCUGUCUAUCCCUAUGAUGUAGAAAUAGUCUUCCCUCUCUUUACCGCACGAAGUGUAAGGUUGAACUAGUGUCACAAGUCGCUGUGCCGAGGGCUACACGUGGUGCCACUGUCGUAAAUGUUGGCACCUGUAAGGUUGGCAGGCUCUCAGUAAGCACACAUAUGUAAAUCAGAGAGGUCGUUUGAUGACAGCAGUGCGUGGCACAUGGCGGUGUGAACAGGAGUGGGACAGGAGGACACCAGUGGUGUUCAAGAUGAAUGACAAGAAAAUUCUAGUGACGAGUUGCAAACCUCGUGUGGAAGUCCCUGGAAGUUGAAACUGCUGCCCGCGGCUCCAGGUCCAAACUCAUGAUGAAGGCGCACAAAACUGUAAAACUGUGGCGGGUGUCAACUCAGUUUGCCAGUGAACCUCCACUACAAACUACAUGAUGGAUGUGACAGAAAUGGUUUGAGGUCUGCCUCUACACAACACCGUGUGCAAGUACUACAACUACAACUACAACACAACAGUCAGUCAAAGGCCUGCGAGAUCACAUGAUAAAAUGUUUACCAGGGUACAAACACCGGCACAAGGCAGUAUGUGUAGGGCAUGUGCACAAAGACCGGGUGCCGCAUACCCGUAUACCUAUCCCCUGUCUAAUGUACACCAGUGUGUUGUUGGUGUGUUCAUACUCUGCCCGGUGACUGUUAUGCAGGUACCAGUAAGUGUCCAGGCCUGUCUGUCGGACUGUCAGACAUCAAACCACCUGCGUCGUCCCGCUGUCUCACUGGUUCCUUCAACUUCUGCUUCCUCCCAGUCCUCCAUGAUGUACAGCACAGCAGUUACAUCGUCCUGGCGCUGCCUGCAGGCUUCGUUUGACACCCGCAACACCAUCAACACCCGCAACACCCUCAACACCCUCAACACCCGCAACACCAACACCCUCAGCCCCACGGCCUGCUUCUCAGCUUUCACUGUCUCACAUUGCACUUGUCCGGUGACCCCUACACCGGGUGCCACGCCUCCCACCCCCUACCCUUUAAGGUGUCUCCGUCUUCCAAUAUGUGAACGCACCGACGUUUGCAGCUGUGGCUUGAUGUUGUGCAGGGUUGUGGUGUAGUCACUGUAGUGUGUACAUGUCAGGUCUGGUGUAGUCUGUCCAUUUGUACAUAAUGUUGUGUGAGGUUACCUGUGUUAAUUAAUAACUAAUUAAAAAGGUGUAAGUAAUAAAUGCAGCAGAAAAAGUACGCGCGAGUGAAUGAUAUAAUGAUAUCAGAUAAAUCGCUUCCCAUCGCAUGAAAGUAAAUCUCUAUCUCAGGUGUUUGCUUACAGUUCCCCUUAGCCAACGAGCAAACAUAAUUUAUUCAAAUUCUCAAAAACACACAAAAACAAACAAACAAAAAACCAGGCAAUGAACCUGAGUCGCUAGUUAAGGUGACGUGUACAGGGAGGGAGCAAAAAUUCCUCCUUUACAAACAGGCAACGACACAGACGACUAAUUCAAAGUAGCAUCAUUCUAUUCUGAGCCUUUUGCUUCCACCCGCUUUCACCGACAGAAGUGUGGCAAUGACAAUGACAAUGACAGUGACAAUGACAGUGACAGUGACAGUGACAGUGACAAUGACAGUGACAAUGCUAGCGCUCGUUAAAACUCGUAAUUUUCUUCCUUCGUGCCUGCAGUCUGCUGGCGGGAAACUCCACGUGUCUGCACCCUGAAUGGACAGCCAGGGUCCAUGCUGCAUGCUACCCGCGGUAUUUCCUCCUUCCUUUGUACUUUUACACCAGAGUGGACCUCAUUCACCUCAGUACACAAAUACAAAUUUCGUCUCUCCUGUAGGAGUUUGACAACGGCGUCAGUGUGAGGUGCUGUGCGUCUUCUGGAUAUGGGACCAACACCAACACCAGCACCAACACCAACACCAACACCAACACCAGCACCAACACCAACACCAACACCAGGAUCAUCUUGGCGGCAGAUAGGAACCAUAGUGGAAUGUGCGGUGGGAGGAGGAUUGAUGGCCAUGAGCCUGGACCGUCUGCUGAGUCCUCCGUGGGCGACGACACCAGUGAGUGAGCGCUGCUCACUAGGCCACCACUAGCCGCAACUGAGAGGGGAGCUUGUCCCUCCUUUCCUACCCUUUCACUAUACCUUUUAAAGGGUACAUAAUUAUUAUCGUUGAAGUUCAUCGUUUUUUCUUGUGUACGUUUGGUUCCUUUGUUAACUGGCAAAACAAAGGGCGUAGGCAUUG